rnacentral:rRNA from 1 species
AGUCGAGGGGCAGCAUAUAGAUUGCUUGCAAUUUAUGAUGGCGACCGGCGCACGGGUGAGUAACGCGUAUCCAACCUACCCAUUACUAGGGAAUAACCCAGCGAAAGUUGGCCUAAUGCCCUAUGUAGUCGUUUGAUCGCCUGAGAUUUCGACGAAAGAUUUAUCGGUAUUGGAUGGGGAUGCGUCUGAUUAGCUUGUUGGCGGGGUAAAGGCCCACCAAGGCAACGAUCAGUAGGGGUUCUGAGAGGAAGGUCCCCCACAUUGGAACUGAGACACGGUCCAAACUCCUACGGGAGGCAGCAGUGAGGAAUAUUGGUCAAUGGGCGAGAGCCUGAACCAGCCAAGUAGCGUGCAGGAUGACGGCCCUAUGGGUUGUAAACUGCUUUUAUAUGGGAAUAAAGUGAGGGACGUGUCCCUUAUUGCAUGUACCAUACGAAUAAGGACCGGCUAAUUCCGUGCCAGCAGCCGCGGUAAUACGGAAGGUCCAGGCGUUAUCCGGAUUUAUUGGGUUUAAAGGGAGCGUAGGCUGUUUGUUAAGCGUGUUGUGAAAUGUAGGAGCUCAACUUUUAGAUUGCAGCGCGAACUGGCAGACUUGAGUGCGCACAACGUANGCGGAAUUCAUGGUGUNNNGGUGAAAUGCUUAGAUAUCAUGACGAACUCCGAUUGCGAAGGCAGCUUACGGGAGC